UGGGGAAUAUUGCACAAUGGGGGAAACCCUGAUGCAGCGACGCCGCGUGAAGGAAGAAGUAUCUCGGUAUGUAAACUUCUAUCAGCAGGGAAGAAAAUGACGGUACCUGACUAAGAAGCCCCGGCUAACUACGUGCCAGCAGCCGCGGUAAUACGUAGGGGGCAAGCGUUAUCCGGAUUUACUGGGUGUAAAGGGAGCGUAGACGGAGCAGCAAGUCUGAUGUGAAAGGCAGGGGCUCAACCCCUGAACUGCAUUGGAAACUGUUGGUCUUGAGUACCGGAGGGGUAAGCGGAAUUCCUAGUGUAGCGGUGAAAUGCGUAGAUAUUGGGAGGAACACCAGUGGCGAAGGCGCCUUUCUGGACUGUGUCUGACGCUGAGAUGCGAAAGCCAGGGUAGCGAACAGGAUUAGAUACC
rnacentral:rRNA from 1 species